AAAAAAUUAGUUAAAUAUUAUAAUAAAGGAUUGUCAAUUCUUAGUUGCUUUAAUAAAAGUGUUUUUUG
rnacentral:tRNA from 1 species